CCUACGGGUGGCAGCAGUGAGGAAUAUUGGUCAAUGGACGAGAGUCUGAACCAGCCAAGCAGCGUGAAUGAUGACUGCCCUAUGGGUUGUAAACUUCUUUUAUAUGGGAAUACAAUGUUCCACGUGCGGGAUUUCGUAUGUACCAUAUGAAUAAGGAUCGGCUAACUCCGUGCCAGCAGCCGCGGUAAUACGGAGGAUCCGCGCGUUAUCCGGAUUUAUUGGGUUUAAAGGGAGCGUAGGUGGAUUGUUAAGUCAGUUGUGAAAGUUUGCGGCUCAACCGUAAAAUUGCAGUUGAAACUGGCAGUCUUGAGUACAGGAGAGGUGAGCGGAAUUCGUGGUGUAGCGGUGAAAUGCGUAGAUAUCACGAAGAACUCCGAUUGCGAAGGCAGCUCACUGGACUGCAACUGACACUGAGGCUCGAAAGUGUGGGUAGCAAACAGGAUUAGAUACCCCAGUAGUC
rnacentral:rRNA from 1 species